rnacentral:rRNA from 1 species
AGUGACAAGAAAUAACAAUACAGGACUUUUAAAUAGUUUUGUAAUUGGAAUGAGUAAAGUAUAAACCCCUUUACAAGUAUCAAUUGGAGGGCAAGUCUGGUGCCAGCAGCCGCGGUAAUUCCAGCUCCAAUAGCGUAUAUUAAAGUUGUUGCAGUUAAAAAGCUCGUAGUUGGAUUUCUGUUAAUAACUUAUAUUAAAUAUUUUUGUGAUAUUUAUAUAGUAUUAACAUAAUUCAUAUAUUUAUAUACUAAUCAUAUUAGUGUGUGUAUAUAUGAAAUUUUACUUUGAGAAAAUUAGAGUGCUUAAAGCAGG